rnacentral:pre_miRNA from 1 species
UCUAUUCUAAAAUAAGUGCAGCCAUGAUUUUCUGCGCCCAACUUUGACCGUUCGUCUUAUUUGAAAAUUUUUUUGAAAAAAAUUAAAAACAUAAGUCACGAGUAGAGUACUAUUCAUGUUUUAUUAUCCCAUAACAACAAAAAUGCUAAUUAUAAAAAAAUUUCAAAUAAGACGGACGAUCAAAGUUGAGCGCGAAAACUCAUGGCUACACUUAUUUUGGGACGGAAGUA